GUGGUAAAACUAGCCUUCCAAGC
rnacentral:tRNA from 2 species